rnacentral:rRNA from 1 species
CUGGGCGUAAGCGCGCGCAGGCGGCGAUCUACGUCUGGGGUGAAAGCCCGGAGCUCAACUCCGGGACUGCCUUGGAUACGGGAUCGCUUGAGGAUUGGAGAGGCAAGGGGAAUUCCACGUGUAGCGGUGAAAUGCGUAGAGAUGUGGAGGAACACCUGUGGCGAAGGCGCCUUGCUGGCCAAUUACUGACGCUGAGGCGCGAAAGCGUGGGGAGCAAACAGGAUUAAAUACCCUGGUAGUCCACGCCGUAAACGAUGAGUGCUAGGUGUUGGGGGGUACCACCCUCAGUGCCGAAGCUAACACAUUAAGCACUCCGCCUGGGGAGUACGGUCGCAAGACUGAAACUCAAAGGAAUUGACGGGGGCCCGCACAAGCAGUGGAGCAUGUGGUUUAAUUCGAAGCAACGCGAAGAACCUUACCAAGACUUGACAUCCCGCUGACCGCUCUAGAGAUAGAGUUUCCCUUCGGGGCAGCGGUGACAGGUGGUGCAUGGUUGUCGUCAGCUCGUGUCGUGAGAUGUUGGGUUAAGUCCCGCAACGAGCGCAACCCCUAUGUUGUGUUGCCAUCAUUUAGUUGGGCACUUACAACAGACUGCCGGUGACAAACCGGAGGAAGGCGGGGAUGACGUCAAAUCAUCAUGCCCCUUAUGUCUUGGGCUACACACGUGCUACAACGGGCGGUACAAAGAGAAGCGAGACCGCGAGGUGGAGCCAAUCUCAUAAAGCCGUUCGUAGUUCGGAUUGCAGGCUGCAACUCGCCUGCAUGAAGCCGG